GGUGAGUCUUGAAGAACAAGUUUUUUCCAGGUGUGGAAGAAUGAGGGUGUUCCAGGCUCAGGAAAGGGCCUGAGCAAAGGCAGGAAGGCACUCGGUGUUUCGAGAAAUGUAGCCAUGGCAGAAAAACUCAGAAAAGAAUUUAUAUGUCCCAUCUGCCAGAACUAUUUUGAAGCUCUCUGUUUGACAUUCUGGAAACACAACUUGUGCUUCACCUGCCUCAGGCAUUUGGAGGGGGAAAAUCAAGAUGGCCUUUGCACUUCUCCCCAGUUUUGACAGCUUAUGGAUGCAGAGGAUUGAGACCAACAUGGUCCUGGAAAAACUGGCUGAGAUCAAAGUGAUGAUGCCCAUGCUGAGCAUGUGCCGCUGGAUGCUGAGAUUCUAUGUGAAUGUAACUCUGGAUCUAGCCAUGGCCAAUGACUUCCUCAUAUUCUCUAAUGAUCUGCAGAGCAUGUGAUGUGAAUACAUCCAGAUGAGACCACCAGACAAUGCUGAGACAUUCGUCUCUGCUGCUUGUGUCCUCCCAUCUCACAUCUGCCCGCCACCACUUAGGGGUGGAAGUGAGAGAAGCAAUGAAAUGAACAGUGGGUGUUUGCAGUGUAUCUUCAUAUCUUCAAGGUCCUUUCCUGUUGUUUUCAGACCCGGAGGUCUGAAUGGUGGGCCCCAGGGGAGGACAAGAACUUAUUGCCAGUACAGACACUAGGGCUGUUCUUCACUUGAACCCAGACUUGCAGAAGGGGCCACCUCCUUGAAUUGCUGCCUCAAGAUGAAACCAAGAGCUUGUGUCUGAGGAGUAGCUGGGUUAGAUAUUCAUAGGCUCAACCCCUGACGACUUGAGAAGGAAGCUUUCAUGUGUGGGGGCCACUUUGGGAGCAGAAUCUUAGGGCUGGAGACAUUCAGAGGGACACAGUGUCCAAGGACUAAAUCAAGAG
rnacentral:lncRNA from 1 species